rnacentral:rRNA from 1 species
GACGAACGCUGGCGGCGUGCUUAACACAUGCAAGUCGAGCGGUAAGGCCCUUUCGGGGGUACGACGAGCGGCGAACGGGUGAGUAACACGUGGGUGACCUGCCCUCCAGCUCUGGGAUAAGCCUGGGAAACCGGGUACUAAUACCGGAUAUGACUCCAUGACGCAUGUUGUGGGGUGGAAAGCCUUGUGCGGCUGAGGAUGGGCCCGGCGGCCUAUCAGCUUGUUGGUGGGGUGAUGGCCUACCAAGGCGACGACGGGUAGCCGGCCUGAGAGGGCGACCGGCCACACUGGGACUGAGACACGGCCCAGACUCCUACGGGAGGCAGCAGUGGGGAAUCUUGCGCAAUGGGCGAAAGCCUGACGCAGCGACGCCGCGUGAGGGAUGACGGCC